AGCGAACGCUGGCGGCAGGCUUGACACAUGCAAGUCGAACGCCCCGCAAGGGGAGUGGCAGACGGGUGAGUAACACGUGGGAACGUACCCUUUGGUUCGGAAUAACUUGGGGAAACUCAAGCUAAUACCGGAUAAGCCCUUACGGGGAAAGGUUUACUGCCGAAGGAUCGGCCCGCGUCUGAUUAGCUAGUUGGUGAGGUAACGGCUCACCAAGGCGACGAUCAGUAGCUGGUCUGAGAGGAUGAUCAGCCACACUGGGACUGAGACACGGCCCAGACUCCUACGGGAGGCAGCAGUGGGGAAUAUUGGACAAUGGGGGCAACCCUGAUCCAGCCAUGCCGCGUGAGUGAUGAAGGCCUUAGGGUUGUAAAGCUCUUUUACCCGGGACGAUAAUGACUGUACCGGGAGAAUAAGCCCCGGCUAACUUCGUGCCAGCAGCCGCCGUAA
rnacentral:rRNA from 1 species